rnacentral:lncRNA from 10 species
AGCAGUGUCCUCAUGCUGGUGUCGCAGGUCAGAUGCCGCCACAGCACUUUCACACUUUCAUGCAGCUUUUGUGACUAGGGACAAAAAGUCACAUGCUAUAGUGGCGCAGAGUUUCCCUACCUUUACUUGUUUGCACAUCCCUCUUUGAGAUUUUUGCCAUUUCCAUGAAUUACUAUUCUUUUUUUUUUUUUUUUUGAGACAGAGUCUCGCUCUGUUGCCCAGGCUGGAGUGCAGUGGCACGAUCUUGGCUCA